AGUGAACGCUGGCGGUAGGCCUAACACAUGCAAGUCGAACGGCAGCACAGUAAGAGCUUGCUCUUACGGGUGGCGAGUGGCGGACGGGUGAGGAAUACAUCGGAAUCUACUUUUUCGUGGGGGAUAACGUAGGGAAACUUACGCUAAUACCGCAUACCACCUACGGGUGAAAGCAGGGGAUCUUCGGACCUUGCGCGAUUGAAUGAGCCGAUGUCGGAUUAGCUAGUUGGCGGGGGAAAGGCCCACCAAGGCGACGAUCCGUAGCUGGUCUGAGAGGAUGAUCAGCCACACUGGAACUGAGACACGGUCCAGACUCCUACGGGAGGCAGCAGUGGGGAAUAUUGGACAAAGGGCGCAAGCCUGAUCCAGCCAUACCGCGUGGGUGAAGAAGGCCUUCGGGUUGUAAAGCCCUUUUGUUGGGAAAGAAAAGCAGCAGGUUAAUACCCCGCUGUUCUGACGGUACCCAAAGAAUAAGCACCGGCUAACUUCGUG
rnacentral:rRNA from 1 species